UACGUAGGUGGCAAGCGUUGUCCGGAAUCACUGGGCGUAAAGGGCGCGUAGGUGGCCGAGCAAGGUCGCGGUGAAAGCCCGGGGCUCAACCCCGGGUCGGCCGUGGCAACUACUCGGCUCGAGCACUGUAGGGGCGGGUGGAAUUCCGGGUGUAGUGGUGAAAUGCGUAGAUAUUCGGAAGAACACCAGUGGCGAAGGCGACUCACUGGACAGGUAUUGACGCUGAGGUGCGAAAGCGUGGGGAGCGAACGAGG
rnacentral:rRNA from 1 species